GCGUCGUUAGCGCAAUAGGCAGCGCGUCAGUCUCAUAAUCAAAUCUAGAAAUCUGAAGGUCGUGAGUUAGAUCCUCACACGGGGCA
rfam:Nematostella vectensis strain CH2 x CH6 NEMVEscaffold_559_Cont30047, whole genome shotgun sequence.